GAUGAACGCUAGCGGCAGGCUUAAUACAUGCAAGUCGAGGGGCAGCGCAGUGUAGCAAUACAUGGGCGGCGACCGGCAAACGGGUGCGGAACACGUACACAACUUUCCUACAAGUGGGGAAUAGCCCAGAGAAAUUUGGAUUAAUACCCCGUAACAUAGCGAUGUGGCAUCACAUUGCUAUUAUAGCUUCGGCGCUUGUUGAUGGGUGUGCGGCUGAUUAGAUAGUUGGCGGGGUAACGGACCACCAAGUCUACGAUCAGUAGCUGAUGUGAGAGCAUGAUCAGCCACACGGGCACUGAGACACGGGCCCGACUCCUACGGGAGGCAGCAGUAAGGAAUAUUGGACAAUGGACGCAAGUCUGAUCCAGCCAUGCCGCGUGAAGGAUUAAGGUCCUCUGGAUUGUAAACUUCUUUUAUAAGGGACGAAAAAAGGUCUUUCUAGAUCGUCUGACGGUACCUUAUGAAUAAGCACCGGCUAACUCCGUGCCAGCAGCCGCAGUAAAAC
rnacentral:rRNA from 1 species